GGGGGUAUAGCUCAGUUGGUAGAGCGCUGCCUUUGCACGGCAGAUGUCAGGGGUUCGAGUCCCCUUACCUCCA
rnacentral:ncRNA from 11 species